AGGCGAGGGGGGGCGUGUGUACUUCUCCUGGCCCUGUUUAUGAAUGUGUGUCUGUGGCUGGCAUGUGUGGGGGGAGUGUGUGUGUCUGUGAAUGAGUGUAGGUGUGUCAUAGUCAAUGAGCGCCUUAAGCGGGGAUGCAGGCGGGGGUCGGAUGUUGGGAGAAGUGACCGGGAGGCCGUGAGUGUUUGUGUGUGCACGCGUGCGUGAGCGUGUGUGAAGGGUGGGCACGUUCGGGGCCGUGUGUCACGUGAGGCACUAUGGGAAUGUCCGAGGUGUGCGCGCGCGCCGGAGCAUGUGUGCGCGUAAGACAGGGGGCUCCCGAGGUGUGAAUUGAGGCAGUGGGGUCCGCGACCUCCCAAAGCCGGGCAGCAAAAGCCUUGGAUGGAGAGGGCUCGGGCCCAGGCCCCAACACCGCCCCGCAUUAAGUGCCAGGGAAACGCGUGUGACCGGGUCUGAGUAAGAAAGGCAUGAUCAGCCUGGCUGCAGUACGGAAUGAUCUGGGAAAUUCUGGAGGACUCUGGCUAACUCCUGACAAGCCAACCCUGGAAGCAGGGUAUAGGAUACUGUUUUUCACAAAUUGGAAGUCUGUGGCAACCCUGCAUCGAUCAAGUGUAUUGGCACCAAUUUUCCCACAGCGUUAUUUUUAAAUGAAGGAUGGUGACAGGCUGCCCCUCUGCAUCCAGAGCUCAGGCCCGGCUCCAAAGCUGAGACGUACUUUGCUUUCAAACAAGAAGGUAUGUUCCAUACCAAGAGUUAAGCUCAGGAACUUACGGCCUAGGAGCACUUGGGAGAGGGAACAGCUCAGGCCUCCUACCCAGGCUGCACUGCCCAUGAUUGGCUGAUGGCACAGGGGUAAUUCAGAGGUGGAAUGCACUUUCGGGCCACCAUGCACCAAUAUCCACCCUGCUCCCCGGCCCUGGUUCCCCAAAGCUUCUAUCUCAGAGGGCAAGUGAAACAGAGAAGUACAGGGAGAAGGUUCAAACUCCAGCUGGGAGUAAAGUUGGCUUUAGGAAGUAUGUCACACACCUCCUGCCUCCAUCCUUGAGCUGAGGUUGACAGUUGACAAAUGGUUCACAGUGGACCUCAGAAUCAAGGCAAAAUGACUUCAUCGUUUAAUUCCGAAACCCCUUCAUCCAUGUCUCUCCCUGCUUGUUACCUGUAAGCUUGCUGGGAGCAGUGGCUCAUCUGCUUAUUCUUGAGCCGCGCACAGCAGUCUGCAACAGUCCAGCGGGACAAGCGCAGCAUGGGGAGUCAGCACUGCUUCGCUUACCAGUCUUUGGGCAAGGUUCUUGCCCCUUCUGCACUUCUUUUCUCCUCUGUGAACUGGGACUAAAAUGGUGUCUUUGUUAUAGGGUUGAUGAGGGUUACUUGUAUUAGUUUAUUUAAGAUGCUUAUUACAAGCCUGGCAUCUUGUUAAGUGCGUAAAAUGAACACUGUAUGACUAACUAUUGACUAAUCCUGCUCCCAUUUCUCUAACCCAAGGUUGAGAGGCUAGCCUGAAGUCAUCCAGCAAAUGAGGGUAAGAGCCAGAAGCCCAAGCCUCUGCCCUUCAAAGGCUAAGUGAUGCCAUUUCAGAGACUCCCUCAGUCAUUAGUUCAACAAAUAUUUAUAAAGGUCUACUAUACUUCAGACACUGCCCUAGGCUGAGGAAAACAGUCAAGGUCACCAGAUUUGGGAGCCUUCAUUAUAGUUGGCAAAUCUGGCAAUAAAUAAGCAACAGAUGUACCUUUACA
ensembl:lncRNA